UUCUCCCCUCUUAUGAGGGACUUUAACCACCCUGACACCUGGAGAGGCAACACAGCAAAGUACAGACAGUCCAGGAGGUUCUUGGAAAACUUUGAUGAUCCCUUCCUGACACAGAGGGUUGUAAAAUCUUCCAUGUGCCCACAAAGAGCAGCACGUUCACAGAGCAAUUCUCGCUUUUCUGCAAGCUGCAUUGCUGUGGCAUCAGGGCUCCAUAUCUACAAAAUACAGGCUGUGUCACGUCAUUUCUAAGCUAGUUGAAUGGUGGAAAUGUCAUUGGAUUGUUCUGGGUUUUGAUCUCAGCAAGGUCUACCUUUACAUUACCAUGGAACUGCACUCAUGUUUUGCUGCUGAACAGGUUCUUCCUCAGAUGGCUGAGAUCCAUCUGAAGACUGAAGGGGAAGAAGGUACCAAUUAUACCAAUACAUCAUGUUCAGAAGCAAGGCAUGCAUCCUGCAUCUUCUGAUACUCUGCUACAAUGUUUGCUGGGAGAGUAUUUUUCUUAAUCUCUUUAGAAUCUGUUUUUCUCAAAGUUGAUAUUUUAAAAUCAAGAAUUGCAAGAGCCAACCUUUUGAAAGGUAAAAGGCACCUCUCCUCCUUGGGCACUAAAACACUAACUCCUCUUUAUGACUCCCAAGACAGUCACCUUGUACCACUGGUGAACCCAUCCUCUUCCAAGUGAGGAAUAAACAAA